GGCUGAAUAUCUAUUCCCUUCCUUCACCGUUGAAUAGCCAUUCAUUCCCGCGAAGUAAAAUUUUUCCCCAUCUUCAAUUUUUGCCCUCACCUCUACCUAAAGAAUAAAGAAGCACUAGAACCAUCAUCUUCUCCCCCGGUUCACGGUUAGAGUCAUCAAAAAGGAAUCAAGAGAUAUCAGAAUGGGGAAAUCUGGGACUUCGAGUACGAAGUGGCAGUGGCAACAAACUUGCUGGUUAUUUUAAGAUUGGAUGGUGGAACCACUUGUACUGUCUACAUUUGUAUGUCAAUUAUGCCUUUCUCCAAAGCCCUUCCCGACCCUCUUCCUGUUCUCGCCCAUGCCAUCGCUGGCUACUCCAAUCGUCACAACGUCGACGAUAAUUUCACUCACUCUCUCUGAAUUUUUUCUAUUUAUUGUUAUUUUUAAGCUUUAGGUUCUCAUCUUUAUUUUUCUUAGUUGGAAGUCAAAGACAAUAAAAUUUUCAUGCAUUUAACAGAAAUAGUUUCAUAUUCAAAUAAUUAAAGCAACGAAGAUUAACAUUUUGUGAAGAAAAAAAAAAGCAGUAUUUUGCUUUUAUUGGCAACAUGAUUAUGUGAAAAUACUGAAGUUGUCUCUUCAUUAGAAACUUCUAAAGAACUAGUGAAAAAGAGGAUUAGAUAGUGCAUGAAAUGCAUUUUGAUAUUUGAUUGUGGUUACACGAAUUAUCAUUCAUUUGCUGGAUAAGAUAAAAGCAGCACUUUAACAUCUAGUUUUUGUUGUUUAUUUUUUUAAUAUGGUUAGAAUGUGGCAGAAAGGAAGCGAUGGGAAAGAGCGUUAAUGGCUCCCAUGAAAGCCAAUUUCAUAAUUUAUGGAAAAUAAAAGUUAUAAUAUAUAAAAUUUAAUCAAACUAUAACUCUUAAAAUAUGGUACUUGCAAAGCGAAUUAGAAUAAUAAUUAGAUAUGAAUAAUGAUUUAAGCUAUGAUUAUGAAAUAAUGGAAUAAAACUAAAUUAUGGUUUUGUAUGGUUUAGCUUUUAGGUUUACUUUUGGACACUAAUUAGUUUUAUUUUUCCCCUGAAAAUAAAGAAAACUUAUAUAUAUAUAUAUAUGGGAAGUGGAUGUGGAAUUGAACUGUCUGUGUUUGUUUGAUGAAGUUGCCAGUUUACGAUGUUUAUGAUGUUUUGAUGAAGUUGCAAAUUGAUUGGAACUAGAUUAGGUGUUUUAUUAAAGCUUUAAUUUGAUCAGAUUUUGAGGGAGCUUGCUCCUUUCUACUCGUGCACACGACCAUUUGCACUUCCUGGUGCUCAUUCUUUAAUCUUGUUGAGAUCGCUUUUUAGUUUUUGUUGUUUAUUUCUUCUAUUUUUGGCUCUAAAAUAGACAUAUUGUUAGUUCAUGCCAUUGUUUUAGAUGUCAAUUUUCUGUACAUUACAGAUACUAUGGCCAGGGAAACAUUAGAUCAAGUUAUGGCUGAUGCACUUUCAAAAUCUGGUUUUAAUCGAUCUGCAGCAUACAUUUCAUGUCUUUUUUUUUUUGCAAUCGAUCUGCAGCAUACUGUUAGUUUAUGCCAUUGUUCUAGAUGUCAAUUUUCUAUACAUUAUAGAUACUGUGGCCAAGGAAACAUUAGAUCAAGUUAUGGUUGAUGCACUUUCAAAAUCUGGUUCUAAUCAAUCUGCAGCAUACAUUUCAUGUCUUCUUUUUGUAAUGGCAUUUUAAGGAUGCCUUUUUUUUUUCUUAUUCCUAGAAUGCUUAUAAGUUAUGAAUCUUUUCGUGUACCAGAAUACUGUGAGAAAUAUGUCAAGUCUGAAUAUGUUGUAGGAACAGAAGAAGUGAAGUCAAGUGACAAAAAACUGAGUGAAGAUGAAUAUGCUGCCUCGGAUGAUGAGGAAAUCGCCGAAAAAGCAGAUCUUUAGGCACAUAUUAUGCCCUGCAUACUUGCUACGACAGAGCCGGGGAACAUGUGGAAAAAUUCCUACUUACCCCUUUUUGUCAUUACUUUCCAUGGAUGUUUGUGUAAAUUAAUCCACUGUUGUUCAAUAAUUCAAAUAUUUAUCCACUGCUGAAACUUUAAAAAGGAAUUCUCCCAUAUCCUCC